AAGACUAUACUUUCAGAACAUUUUUAUAGUUUGUUACUAGAGAAGUUUCUCUGAUCAUGUAGAGCACCGAAAACCAUGAGGAGCCACAGUAUCCUCUCCCGCAUGUGAAGCCGGUUCUAGGUGUUGCUUUCACAACCACCUUUUACCAUUGAGAUGGUUUUUCUCUUCCUUUUGUAAGAGUGAGAGGGGGAGGGUGUAGAAUAUAAGGC